rnacentral:lncRNA from 1 species
AAUAUUAAAAUGAAAUGAGUAUUUAAAUAUAUCAAAUGCGGAAGCGAGAUCAAAAUUUCAAUUAACAUCCCUUACACGAAAAACCAAACAAACGUACUUAAAAUAUAAAAGGUUAAACUAACUAAGAGAGGAACUCGAAAAUAAGACUAUGCGUAUGUCUACAGAGUCUCUAGGCAUCCCCUUCGUCGUCCUCCUGCGGAACGGGCUCGGGAACCAUGUCUUCCUGAUCUGAAAUGGUUAAUUAAGGAGUGAGCUACACUAGCCCAGUAAGAACAUCACGAUAUCUCACCGUCACGGAAAUAAAGGUGGGUAGAAAACCACAAAA